AUUGAACGCUGGCGGCAGGCCUAACACAUGCAAGUCGAGCGAGCGGCGGACGGGUGAGUAAUGUAUGGGGCCUGCCCGCUAGAGGUGGAUAACUACUGGAAACGGUGGCUAAUACCGCAUAAUAUCGGAUAACCCAGAUGGGAUUAGCUAGUAGGUGGGGUAACGGCUCACCUAGGCGACGAUCUCUAGCUGGUCUGAGUGGAUGAUCAGCCACACUGGGACGGAGACACGGCCCAGACUCCUAAGGAGGCAGCAUGGGGGAAGAGUGCACAAUUGGCGCAAGCCUGAUGCAGCCAUGCCGCGUGUAUGAAGAAGGCCUUAGGGUUGUAAAGUACUUUCAGCGGGGAGGCGUUACCCGCAGAAGAAGCACCGGCUAACUCCGUGCCAGCCGCCGCGGUAAUUC
rnacentral:rRNA from 1 species